AUUCUGGCCAGUUCAGGAGCAGAGAUAGAUACGGAAAAAAGAAUGUGUGUGAGGCUGGAGGGAGAUGAAAGACGGGAGUUAUUUGAUGGGCAAAGCUCAGUAAAUAGCGAUAUUUAGUGUGUGGAAAAUAAAACUCUGGAGAAGAGAUCACCACACUCCAGACCCACUACAUCCAGAAACUGGAAGAAGAUCAUAAAGAGCAGGUACCAACCAGGGGCCAGAGCAGAAGGGAAGAGGGUGGGAGAAUGGCUGCGUUGAGUCAAGCAGGCGAUUUGGAGGGGUUUGUUUAGUUUUACAUUUGCUUUUUCUCUACAGUUGGUCCAAAAGCUGCAAUUCCCAGAGACUAUCCUUAAAUUGCAAUCAGGACAUGUUAUUCAAAACAGUAAGACUGAUUACACAUUGAUUACAUACUUGCAAAAAUAAAUAAUAAAAUAAACAAGGAUGGCAGUGUAGGCUUCUACUCCCCUCCCCCAAUACCAGUGAAAUCCCCCCCUUUUAUUUCCAGUUUCAUUUCUUUCCAUAAAUUCUGUUAUGAUGUCAUUUCUCUCUCUCUCUCUCUUUUUAAAAAAUAUAAAUCCAGAGGAGUGACUGAAAAUCUCUGUGAGGAGGAGAGGUUAUAUUCCCACCUUGGCCACUAUGCUGUUGGUUUAGAGCACCUAACCAGGUUAGUUAGUUAGUGCCUGGCCACUCAGCUUAGCUCAGUCCUAGUGUCUCUCCAGGAAUUGUCUGGGUAUUGGCCAAAUAAUGUUAAAGCUGGAAGGAACCCAUAGCCAUCAUCACAGUCAAGGUCCUAGUUUUAGAAUGAGGAUACUGAGGCCCUGAGUGGGAAGUCACUUGCCCAAGAUGUGGCAGCAGGGUUAGAGACAGACAAGGGGCUGGGACUCAGCUCUUUCCCGCAGGGGCUCCAGCACUGCAUUCAGCCAUUCCUGGCUUUCUCGCUAGUCACUGGGGCUCAUGCCUGGACCUGGGCUAACCUGCAGUAAGGCCUUUGGCAAACACUGCCAGAUGCUAUCACUCCAUGACAUAAGAACCCAUAAUCUGAAGGCACUCUGUUUUAGGGGCAGUAGGAAAAGGAGUGAAGCGGCCCCAAAGUGGAGAGGGCCACACUCUCUUAUUUUCACACUCACUUCUGUCCCUUUUUCUACACAGUCUUGCAUACAAGCCUGGCUUAGGCUAGUGGUUUGGUCAGAGAAAGAGGACCAAGAGGGUGUGAAGGAGGGGUGUUCACCCCAGCUUUCAGGUCCAUGCGCCAAACCUCAUUUUCUACAUGACAGGAAGCUCUCCUGAUGUGGAGAGGCAGGCAGGCCUGGCUGCCUCUGAGCUGUGCAGCGGCCUGUAGUCUUGAAGAACAUGGUGCAGAAGUGGCCCGCUUCCAACAGCACAGUCCUCACGUGGUGCCAACAGAAAGCAGAGAUCGAGAGAGGGUGUGGUUGGAUGGGGUGAGUGCAGUAACUAGGAAGUUCUGCAUCCGAAGGAGAGAAGGAAAACCAUAUACCACCAAAGCUGAUAAGGAAGAGAGCAUGAGGGCCCCCUGGCUUUCUUUCAUAGGCAGAUGUGUCUCAGAUCUUUCAGCAGGAGAGGAGAGAUGUGCUUCCAGAGGGCAGCUGGGGACUUCUGGUUGUGCUGCAGGAAGUGCUGAGACCCAUUCUAAUACAUCCUGGAGGCCGUGGCAGCUCCUCCUUCUGGGAUGCUUAGGAAGGAGGCAGAUAAGAUAGGCCCCUUUUUCCGGUAAGUCAGACCUGCCAGGUGAACUAUAGGAACAUUUUAAACGAACUCAGUUAUCUCAUGUUUGAUCCCUCAACCUAAACCAUCAGGCCCCUUUCCCUGGCCUAAAAUAAGGUCCCACUGAAUCUGCACUCAGAGCCAGGCCUCAGAUGACCUCUGCUGAUUCUCUGAGUUGUUUAAUGUGGGUUCCAGUUAUCCCGAACUGGGACUGCGACACCCCUCUGUCACCUCAGCCAGGAUGACUCUUCUUCCAGAUCAUUUAGAACAGCACUUCCAAUUGAAACAUAAUACAAGCCAUAUUUGUCAUUUUUAAUUUUCUGGUAGCCACAUCUUUUUUAAAAAGGUAAAAAAAACAGGGAAAUUAAUUGUAAUAAUACAUUUUAACUGAAUAUAUCCAAAAUAUCCUUUCACCACACGCUCAAAAUAAAACAAUUAUAAUGAGAUAUUUUACAUUCUUUCCUUCAUAUUUAGCCUUUGAAAUCCGGUGUUUUUUACACUUACAGCUCAUCUCAAUUCAGACACUAAAUUUUCAUUGGAAAUACUUGAUCUGUAUUUAGAUUUCAUAAAAUUUACAGUUGAAAAAGCAGAGUCACAUACCUGAGGCAUUCCAAACAUACUUUAAAAUCUUUCCAAUAACUGAGUUGAGUAUCUGUUUUUAAAUUUAAACUAAUUAAAAUUAAAUAAAUAUUAAAUAAAUUUUAAAAUGUGGUUCCUCAGUUCCCCGGGCCACAUUUCAGAUGUUCCGUAUGUAUCUGCACAUGGUUAAUGGCUACCAGCAAACCCCUCUCUCACCUGAGAAGGCAACUGCUGUCCCCACUCUUUCCUUUUGCUCCCAAAGACUCAAAAAAGGGGAGUCUCAGCUUUCGUUGACAGACAGGGCUCCCUUGUUUGGUCCCUAGCAGAGCCUGGGCACCUUCUUCGGGGCCUCAGGAGAGAAGCGUAAACCCUACUUCCUCCCUGCCGCCCCCUUCUGGUCAUGCAGAACUUUGGGGGGAUGUGGCUGUGGCUGGCAAUGUUCUGAACUGGCUGUGAUGGGUCAUGAUGGGAAAGUGGCCAGGAGAAAAGCUGCCCAGUGCUUCCUCCAGAGGCUGCUCCCCACCUAUCCCCCCACCAUUACCUUCUCAUUUGGGGAAUGUAUGAGGAACAGACAGACACUUCUACUAAGCAUGCUCCCCCUUCCCCAACUCCAAAAGAAGCUUGGCUGGAGAUUCUCAGCCAGGGACUUGUGCAUCAGUGUGUAUUUCCUAUGUGUACAGUUAUCGCCAGCUGCUUCCCAGGGACCAAGAAAUGUGAACCAGAGUCACAACCCCAAAUCCUAGUUUGGCAUCAGAAAACAACAAGGAGCCUCUCUUUACCUCUGGUCCCUGGACAGUGGGGCAGAUGUAAGGGGGACCUCAGCCCCUUACUCUGUGAGGUGUCACCUUCCCACCUGUGGCAUCUACACUGUGGAGGGCGGUGGGCCCCCUUUUCUCUAUAUAUCUUCAGGGAAGGAGGCUAAGUGCCCUUAACGCAGCAUGAAGGAAUGGGGUUAGGCAGAGGAAGGACUCCCAGGGGGAGCUCUCUAAGUGGAGACGGGUCCGGAGAGCACCUGUGCCAAGUCCUCACCUGGUGUUGGCCAACAGACCCCCAGAGACAAAGGUCGAGCCAACACUUUCUGGCAGACCUUCCUGCAGUCCAAGGAGCCUCAGAUCUUGUGGUCUACAAGUAGGCGUCUGUCAACCAGGUGUCACAGCAACCAAAUUUUUAGUUGAUGAUUCGAACUAGGGAGGUGGUAGGAAACAGCACUACAAAGGCAGAGACCUGUUCUGAGAGUGAAUUAGCAUGCAUCACCCUGAUUAAUCCUCAGAAUAUAAUGGAGAAGGGGCCAUUGCCAUCCUCCCCAUAACACAGGUGAGAAAACUGAAUUGGAAAGAGGAAGAAGAAAGUAAGGUCUUUGGGAGGCUGAGGUGGGUGGAUCACGAGCUCAAGAGAUCAAGACCAUCCUGGGCGUGGUGCUGCAUGCCUUUAGUCCCAGCUACUCAAGAGGCUGAGGCAGGAGAAUCAUUUGAACCUGGGAGGAGAGGGUUGCAGUGAGCCAAGAUCAUGCCACUGCACUCCAGCCUGGCGACAGAGUGAGACUCCGUCUCAAAAAAAAAAAAAAAAAAAGAAAGGUCAAAGUAAAUCUGUACCAAGGUUUGUUUAUUUAUUUAUUUUUAGAAACAAGGUCUCACUCUGUCACCCAGGCUGGAGUGCAGUGGCACAAUCAUGGCUCACUGCAGCCUCCAACUCCUGGGUUCAAGCCAUCCUCCCUUCUCAGACUCCCCAUUGCUAGGACUAUAGGUGCACACUGCCACGCCCGGCUAAUAUUUCAUUUUAUGUAGAGAUGGGGUCUUGCUGUGUUGCCAAAGCUGCAUCAAGGUUUACUGAGCUAUUGUCAACAGCUUCAUCUUCCUCCCAGAAAGGACAGCUGAAGGUUUAGGGUGGCACAGUUUGCUGUACCUAUUCAGUAGUGGAGCUGGGAUUUGAACCCAGGUGGUCUGGUUCCUGAUUCUGAAUGGUUAUCCACUAUACUACAUGGUGUCUGUAUUUCUCUGGUAAGGAUAGAGAUAUAUUCCCAGCUUGGCCAGCUUUGCUGUUGGUUUAGAGUACCUAACCAUGCUAUUUCUCCCGGCCUAAAAUGGGGUAGGGGGGCUCAGCUGGGUACACCUAUAGCCCUCAUCAUCCAGUCAGUAGUUCUCUAAGUCUGCUCAACUCCCCUCCGGGGUCUUCCUCCUGGCUUUCCUCCAUUCUUACAGCUGCUUUUUAGGAUGACAGCUUUGGGUUUUUUUUUUUUCUUAAAAGGUUAGUGCUCAUUUCCUCCUCAGCCCAUAAUUCAGGUUAAAAAGAACCCGGAACAUGCAUGCCUAUUUCUGACGAUCAAGUAAAAACAAAAACAAACAAACAAAAAACAAAAACAAAAAAAAAUGUCUUCUGAGAGAGACUGGCGCCAGGCAGCUGCUGGUCAGAGAUGGGAUGGGUAGGAAAAGAAAUGAUGUUGCCACUUCCCUGGAAGUGUCCACAGCACCUUCCCCCUGCCACAACCACUGUGGCCUUUCUCCUUCUGCAAAUGCACACACACAAGCGCAGAAAAGCCAUUUGACAUCCACAGCUGGGAAACAGACUUCAAGAGACUGAGACAUGUCUUACAUUUUUUCAAACAGUGAACAGCCAAUCCCUCAUGCUUCCACCAGCCUUGUGUUGUAGGGAGGGGCUGGUGGCUGCAAGUUGGCUAGGGACCUAGGGUUGGCAAGGGAGGAGGGGGACUGCAGAACAUUCUAGACUGGGCCUCAGUAUUUUCAUCCAUACCCAGGCACAAGUCAGUGCCGUCAGGCCAGCACUGACCAGGACUUUCUGCAAUGAUGGAAGCGUUGCAGGUCUGCAAUGUCCAUAUGUGGCCACGAAGUCCUUGAAAUAUGGCUAGAGUGACUGAGGAGCUGAAUUUUUCAUUUUAUUUAAUAUUUAUUUAAAUAGCCACAUUGGCUAGUGGCUACCAUAUUAAAUAUAUACUUUUUUUUUUUUUUUUGUCACACUAUUGCCCAGGGGGGAAUGUAGUGGCACGAUCUUGGCUCACUGCAACCUCCGCCUCCCAGGUUCAAGUGAUUCUCCUGCCUCAGCUUCCCGAGCAGCUGGGAUUACAGGCACACACCACCAUGCCUGGCUGAUUUUUUAUUUUUAGUAGAGACAGGGUUUUACCAUGUUGGCCAGGCUGGUCUCGAACUCCUGACCUUGUGAUCCAACCUCCUUGGCCUCCCAAAGUGCUGGGAUUACAGGCGUGAGCCACCAUGCCUGGCCUAAGUAGUACAUUAAUAUAUAGUAGCCUUAGGCCAAAGAGAAGCCCAGUGAAUCCAGGAGCACCCCUGCUGUUUCUCACACCCAUGACGCUCAUCUGUCUGCUUCCCUGUGCCCUGCGGCAGGGUUAUCUUGCUCCAGGGCAGGAGCAUGGAUGAGAUAACCUCCCAAGGCAUGCACUGGGCUCUAAGCCCCAGCUUAUAUUACAGAAAUACUUCCAGACCUACUUCUCUUUGCCUCUUGGGCAGAUUUACACAUCUCUCCAUUUAAAGGUUAUUUAUUGAAUACUAUAUGCUGGUGAGACAAAGAGAAAUGACAAAGCUCUGCCCGUAAGAAGUUGGCUGUUUAAAUUCCACAGGGGGGACUAGAAUGAAACCCAGAACAAAUUCAGCUCCCUUUUUCAUUCUUUGUAGAGAGAUUCUAGGCGUCCUCAUCUUAUCUUCUGUCUAGAAAAGGAGAUGGGAGAAUCUCCCCAGGUCUGGGUGGCCUGGCAAAGCCCGACACUCUUCCUGGACUGUGAAUUUCAAGGAUGCCUCUGUUUCUUCGAUUUUUGUAAGCUAAGGCACAAUAUCUGGGUCACCUAGUUUUCUCUUACAAUUGAUUAUUAGGUCAAGUGAGAUAGAGUGAUAAACUAACACCAGCCCAGGAACAGGCUGUUAAUAGCACCGGGGUGUGGCUAAGAGGUCCGGGGGCGGGGGGUUUAGAUUUUAGGCAGGCAGGUCUCCUGGAUCCAUCCAUUGCUGUGACCAGCAAGCAAGGUGGAGUCAGAACCCUUCAGACUCUACUGGAAGAGAACAGCCGUGGCAAAAGGGCAGGUUUGGAGAAAGUGGUUGAGCUUGGGCAGGGUACAUGCGUUGUGCAAUUGUGCAGCAUGGAGUAUUUCUCACCCUAAGAUGCCUCUGGGUCUGUAGCAGCUGGGCUUGCAUCAUGACACUCUCUGUGUUUGCCAGGACAUAGAGGAUGGUGCAAUCCUCAAACACGUGUUCAUGUUACCAUGGGGAGAGGCUGAUGUACUGUGUGUGCCUCUGUGGAUGCUGCUGCACUGGGGUGUAUGGGGAACUCCUUAUGAAUGAAAGAGGACUGAGUUGGCCACCCAAAUGUGGCAGGGGCCAGAGGCAUUGGAGAGCCAGUGGGAAGGACUGGAGGUAUUAUAUAGAAGCCAGAGAUUUAGAUCCCACCCCAAAGGUAAAUACUGUAUCCAGAUAAUAUUAUCAUCAUCCCCUCCCUUAGUCAUUGAAUAGGGUUAUGAAGGUAAGGUCUGGCCUCCAUAGAUCCCAGCAGGAGAAAUGGAUGCUGAGCAUUCCACAUUUCCCAUCCUCUGCAAAAACCUCUCAGAACAGCAUCUCAUGGGCGGGGAAGUCUGGAAUAUGUCUCUCUUCCUUCCUGGAUCAUUUUCCAGUUGGAGGUUACAGAAACAGCAGAAUGCCAUGCACAAACAAGCCCUGUUCCCCUCUCCCUCACCUGCCUUCACUCUCCCACACAUGGGUUCUCUCCGGGCCUCGCUUGUUUGUCUCCCUGACUCUUUAAAUAUAUCCUGCAGACACACAAACAGAAGGAAGGGAUUUAUUUGAAUGAUUAUUGCAGAAGUAGGAGAGGGAGGCACCCAAAUUCCAGAUUUAUUUUUUCUUUGAGACAGGGUCUCACUCUGUCCCCCAGGCUAGAGUGCAGUGGAGCUAUCAAAGUGGAGCAAUCAUGGCUCACCUCAGCCUCAGCCUCAACCUCCAAUCUCCAACCUCCUACCUCCAACCUCCCACCUUCCGGGCUCAAGCAAUCCUCCGGUCUCAGCCUCCUGAGUUUCUCAGACUAGAGGCGCACGCCUCUAUGCCCAGCUAAUUUUUGUGUUUUUUUUGUAGAGACGGGGUUUCACUAUGUUGUCCAGGCUGGUCUCGAACUCCUGGGCUCAGGCAAUCCACUCACCUUGGCCUCCCAAAGUGCUGGGAUUAGAGAUAUGAGCCACCGCUCUCAAUUCCAAAUUCCAGAUUUUAAAAACACUUCCAGGCCGGGCUUGGUGGCUCACGCCUGUAAUCCCAGCUCUUUGGGAGGCCAAGGCGGGCGGAUCACGAGGUCAGGAGAUCGAGACCAUCCUGGCUAACACGGUGAAACCCCAUCUCUACUAAAAAUACAAAAAAUUAGCCGGGCAUGGUGGCGGGCGCCUGUAGUCCCAGCUACUCGGGAGGAUGAGGCAGGAGAAUGGCGUAAACCCAGGAGGCGGAGCUUACAGUGAGCCGAGAUCGCGCCACUGCACUCCAGCCUGGGCGACAGAAGGAGACUCUGUCUCAAAAAAAAAAAACAAAAAACGCUUCCAGUCCCUAGAAGUGUGCCCAUGCUGUGUGGGUGUCAGUCUCCCACGCCCUCUGCUGGCCACAUGGAGAUAUUGACCUGUUUGUCAAACAGGUUCCAGAGCAGACUGUUGAGUUCUUUUGCUGUUCACGUGCAGAACAAUCUUCACCAGGAAGUCCUCCCGGGUAUCCUGCCUAGAUCCCUUCUGCAACCUCAGUUCAUUUUCUCUUGAUGAAAUAGCUCCAGAGUAGCCAGUCUACUUGUUCCUUCUUGUUUUAUCUAAAACGCAAAGCCUUCCACAAUUGAAAGCCUAUUUAUGACUCAGCCACAGAGCAGCUGAGUCGGGCUGGCUGCUUCUGGCACUCAGCUCCAGUCUUACUUUCCAGCCCUUUAAUCUCCAUGGCUCUGCCCUGGCUCCCCUCCAAGUUUCCGCUGUCUCUCUGGAGCCUACAGGUGACCACAAGACCCUGAUUAGUAUCUUCGACACUGGACUCUGCUGCUGCCUAAGGAAUAGGUCCCAUGGGGUUAAGUGGCACCAGAAACCAGGAGGCACAUCAAAAUGUUAAGCCUGCUCUUCAGAAGCAGCCAAAAAGCUUGCAAAGCUGGGGAAGGUGUGCCCUCAGGAGACUUGCCUUGGGGAGGCUGGGAAAAGGAGAGAGUUUGCAAAAGCAUUUUGAGUUCCUUAAAUGAAGAGAGAUACAAGAAUCUACAUUUUGUAUGCCAGUAUCAUGGUUGCUUGGCCCCGGGGCAGUACUUGAACACUUUCAAAGAAAAGAGUAAGAGAGGUCAAAAUAAAUUUACCCCAAGGUUUAUCAAACCGUUGUCAACAGCCCCAUCCCCCUCCCAGAAAGGGUGACUCAAGGUUAAGGACAGCCCACAGCACUUCUUAGAAAAAGUCCCAAAAGGUGAAAGGUCUUGAGAAGAGCUGUUGAGGGAAGGCUGUGGGCCACCAUGCUUCUGUGUCCCCCAAGGCCAAAGAGAGAAUAAGCUAAAAUGACAGCUGGAAAAGGGCACCCUCUGACCAAAUGGACAGAGCCUCCCCCAACAGGUAGCCAGAGGAGGAUGGAAUGGCACCCCCAUUUCAGAUGUCCUUAAGAACUAGAGAGAUAGAUGCUUAUUUCUGCUUGGACACAGGGGGAUGGACUAAAUGGCCUACGGAAAGGAUUCCAGGAACUGCUACACCAGCCACAGGAGAGAAGCCAGCUUCCCAGGCUGUCUCCCCUUGAAGAGGUGACAAUGUGUUGGCUCUCCAGGCCAGGCUGGGGCAGCCCACUGAAGGAGACGCAUAGACGCAUGCGCUGGUCAGCAGCCAGCCCACUCCCCCACCUGCCCUCACUUUAUCCAGUUACAAUCUUGAUUGAGGAAGGGGUCCAGGCUUCUCCAAUCUGAACCCCCUCCAGGCUUUCAGUAGCCACCAUAUCCUGUCUGCCCCUCCCCCUACAGUAGUCAACUACUUUUUGAGGAUUAAAAUGCGUGGUGAUGCUGA